UUGUCUCUUCCGGUAGCCCUUCAGAGAUGGCCGGUGACGGCGCCCGCCUCCCCGUCGACCGGCCUCUUCUACAGGUUGAGGUUGGGUCAUUGGGACCCUCUCUGUUGCUAUUGCUUCAACCAACGAUGCCGCAAGUACGAGGAAGAAAACUUGUGAUUGGAGAUCAGGUUGUUUCCAGGGUUCCAGCGAUGGUGUAGACAAGAAGUGGCUCGGAGUUGUGAUCCUUUAUUUCUUCCAGCUACUGAGGCAAUGCACCUUCUUCAUGUGGAUGGAUUCGUACGUGGAAAAGCUUCAAUUGGAGGGGAAGUUGCAAGGGAGGGAAGAGGAGACACCGAGGGCAGACCUGAGGGCAGUGAGAAGGCAGCAUUGCUGUUUUUGAAGGAGAUGACUAGCAUGAAUGAGAAGCUUAGCAAGAUUGUGGAGUUGAGGAAAGAAGAACUUCAAGUGGCCAAAUUGUUUUAUGCUUGUAUUGUGAUGUUGGGUUUGAUUUUAGUGGGGUUUUGAUUUUAGUUGCAGCAGGGGACAAGGUGGGCUUUGCUGUUGCUUGGUGUUGCUGCUGUGAGGGCAAUGGCAAGAAGAUGUUGUUCAAUGGUUUAUUGUAGUAUUUGAGAAUAAGAACUAGAUCCAUGUAACAGAAUGGUGUAAUGCAGUACUUAAUGUCGGUUACAUAAUUCUGGAGUUCUAA